CGAGUGUCCCUGGAGCGCUGGGAGCUGCCGGUAGCCCCAGGCAGUGUCCCCUGAGGAGCUGCUGAAGGACGCUGCAAGGAAGACCUUGAGGAGAGCCGGAGACUGCCAGGAGCCAGCAGGGAGAAGCUGAGUGCCAGCAGCAGGAGCAGUGAGCGGGGCCCUGCUGCUGCCAGCCUGGAGAGAGCCCGGGAGAUAUGCCAAACUUCAUCUGCAGGAUCAGAACAACUGGUGUCCUUUGGCUUCCCCCAGUUCCCACUGAAGAUGGGAGCACCUGCAGAGCACAGGGGACCAGCUGCAGCUCCAGGCCCAGCUCUUGCUGCUCACAGCUGAGUCUGUGGCAAGCUCCAGGAGCUCCUGCCAUCUCCCUCCCUGUUGGCAGCUCCCUCCCUCCAGCCCCCACACCCUGCCCAUCCCCUUUUUUCCCUCCCAGCUCACCCCUUUGCUUUGCCUUCCCUUAUUAAACAGUUUUUCUUUUUCAUUUGACUCGUGGAUCUGUCCGUGGAGCUGAAGCAGCACAAAUCCUGAGCCCGGGGACACGCAGGGCCCUGCUGCCGUUCUCUUCCACGCCAUCGUCUGUGCACGGGCAGAGAGGAACAAGGGCAGCUCAGGCUGCAGAGGUCCCUGUCCUGCUGCUCCAGUUGCACAGCACCAUGGAGUUGAAGGUCGUGCUGAGCACACUGGAGGGAACAAGGACCCUGGGUUUUAGAAGAGCCAGCCUGAGUAUGCUCUUCCAUGGGACAGGAAGAGGGCAGAACCAGACACCAUGAUGGCCUAACAGUGAGCUCUGGGUGUGCCUCAAAGCCAAUGAAGCAGCAGCAGCAGCAGCAGUGCAGUGGCUGUGACUCAGAG